rnacentral:rRNA from 1 species
UACGAAGGGUGCUAGCGUUAUUCGGAAUAAUUGGGCGUAAAGGGUGCGUAGACGGCAUAUUAAGUCAACUGUUAAAUUCUCCGGCCUAACUGGGGGUCAGCGGUAGAAACUGAUAUGCUAGAGGAUGAAAGAGAGAAGUGGAAUUCUCGGAGUAGCGGUAAAAUGCGUAGAUCUCGAGAGGAACACCGAUGGCGAAGGCAGCUUCUUGGUUCAUUCCUGACGUUGAGGCACGAAAGCGUGGGGAGCAAACAGG